rnacentral:sRNA from 1 species
UCCCUGGGCUGCUGGUCUUCUUUACCUUCCAGCUGCUCACAGAACAGAGAGUUUCUACAUACAAGCAGAAGAUGUGAAAAUAUUGGGAAUAAAUAAAGUAUAUGCUUAUAAACAAGUUGUGGCUGCUCCUGGUUACGUUGUGCCUGACCGAGGAACUGGCAGGAGCGGGAGAGAAGUCUUAUGGAAAGCCAUGUGGGGGCCAAGACUGCAGACGGAGCUGUCAGUGUUUUCCUGAGAAAGGAGCGAGAGGGCGACCUGGACCAAUUGGAAUUCAAGGCCCAACAGGUCCUCAAGGAUUCACUGGCUCUACUGGUUUAUCAGGAUUGAAAGGAGAAAGGGGUUCCCCAGGCCUUCUCGGACCUUAUGGACCAAAAGGAGAUAAGGGUCCCAUGGGAGUUCCUGGCUUUCUUGGCAUCAAUGGGAUUCCGGGCCAUCCUGGACAGCCAGGCCCCAGAGGCCCACCUGGUCUGGAUGGCUGUAAUGGAACUCAAGGAGCUGUUGGAUUUCCAGGCCCUGAUGGCUAUCCUGGGCUUCUCGGACCACCCGUAUGCUGCCAGAUAUUUGCAUUUUAUUUCAAAUGGCUUUGCUUGUCUCUACGUGUGCCCUUUUUCUGCCUCUCUGGAAACCUCAUUAAGAUUUUGUGGGGCAGCCACUACAGACCCUUGUCCAAUGUAGGAGUCAAUACUGGCAGCACCACAACAGUAAAAGUCUAAAGAAGAAUACCAGUUGCAGUGGGGUGUGCACUUGCUACACUGCUUAGGGUUACCUUUUUUUAAUGCAGCUUGUGAAGUUGGCAAGAUUGUUAAAAGGCUGUAGUAAAUUUCAUGGCAAAAUACACACUUGGGCUAUUUGACAUGGUCCCACAUC